UACGAGGGGGGCGAGCGUUGUUCGGAAUUAUUGGGCGUAAAGGGUGCGUAGGCGGUUCGGUAAGUUUCGUGUGAAAUCUUCGGGCUCAACUCGAAGCCUGCACGAGAUACUGCCGGGCUUGAGUGUGGGAGAGGUGAGUGGAAUUCCUGGUGUAGCGGUGAAAUGCGUAGAUAUCAGGAGGAACACCUGUGGCGAAAGCGGCUCACUGGACCACAACUGACGCUGAUGCACGAAAGCUAGGGGAGCAAACAGG
rnacentral:rRNA from 1 species